rnacentral:rRNA from 1 species
UACGAAGGGGGCUAGCGUUGUUCGGAAUUACUGGGCGUAAAGCGCGCGUAGGCGGAUCGCUAAGUCAGGGGUGAAAUGCCGAGGCUCAACCUCGGAACUGCCUUUGAUACUGACGAUCUGGAGAUCGGGAGAGGUUGGUGGAAUUCCGAGUGUAGAGGUGAAAUUCGUAGAUAUUCGGAGGAACACCAGUGGCGAAGGCGGCUCACUGGCCCGGUUCUGACGCUGAGGUGCGAAAGCGUGGGGAGCAAACAGG